UAAAAAAUGCUGGGUUAUUUUCAUAACCCAAUUUCUGGGUUGAAGCUGUUGGGUCAUAGGUUGGGUUAGUUUGACCAAAUAUUGGGUCAAAAUUCAUAACGCAAGAGUUGGGUCAGAAAUUUACCUGGAGGUUUACAGCUUGAACACUUCUGUUGGGUCAGGUGUCGGGGGUAGAUUUACCCAAUCGGUUGGGUUAAAGACGAAACUUGGAAGAAGCCACGCCCCUCUUCACAAGCCUCCAUUUUCAACAAGACUGUGAACGUUGCAUGUCGGACUUCUCCUCUACUUUGAAAUAAGACAUGAUUUUGUAAUUUUACAUCCAGGAUCUUCAGGAGAAUUAAGCGAAACCCAAACUCUUCGUUCUCAACAAAGACCUUCUGUAUGGCCAAGUACAUGAGUCUGCUCCCUCAAGGAAUUGAAGGUCAGAAGAAAUGUUCUCUAAAAUGUUUUCAUGCUGUCUAGUUACUGAAACAUUUUAACACUAGCUUAUGUUUGAUACAGAAGAAGAUGUAGUCCUGGAGCUGCUGCCAGUACUCAGCCCCACUUACACAUUUGGGAGAAGUUUCAGACCCAUCAACCUGGAAGUUCAGAAGGCUUCAUUGAUAUCCAGCCUGUUGGGACAAACCUGGUGACGCAUCUACAAAAUGUGACAACAUGGAACCCAUAUGUCCUCAUGCAGGGAGACUGGCAAAAAUGUUAAAGUGUCGUUAAAAAUGCUCCUUGUUUAAUGGCUGAAAGUUUUACUUGUAGUUUGUUUUAAAACAGACUUUUUACAUGAAAUGUUUUCUAAUGUGUAGUAACAGAUACUUCUGGAGUUGUAGCCAAAUGAGUUAAAGUGAUUUAACUAUAUGCUUUUGAAACAACUUACUUAUGUUUUGUAACUUUUGUAAAUGAAAUCUGCUGGCUAUAUAUAUGUAUCACGUGGAAAUAAAAAAAACU